rnacentral:rRNA from 1 species
AGAGUUUGAUCCUGGCUCAGGACGAACGCUGGCGGCGUGCCUAACACAUGCAAGUCGAACGGAGAUAUGAUUUCGGUUGUAUCUUAGUGGCGAACGGGUGAGUAACGCGUGAGCAACCUGACUCUUAGAGGGGGAUAACACUCGGAAACGGGUGCUAAUACCGCAUAAGACCACGACAUGGCAUCAUGACGAGGUCAAAGGAGCAAUCCGCUGAGAGAGGGGCUCGCGUCCCAUUAGAUAGAUGGCGGGGUAACGGCCCACCAUGUCAACGAUGGGUAGCCGAGCUGAGAGGCUGAUCGGCCACACUGGAACUGAGACACGGUCCAGACUCCUACGGGAGGCAGCAGUGGGGAAUAUUGGGCAAUGGGCGCAAGCCUGACCCAGCAACGCCGCGUGAGGGAAGAAGGCUUUCGGGUUGUAAACCUCUGUCCUUGGUGACGAAAAAAAUGACGGUAGCCAAGGAGGAAGCCCCGGCUAACUACGUGCCAGCAGCCGCGGUAAUACGUAGGGGGCGAGCGUUGUCCGGAAUUACUGGGCGUAAAGGGUGCGUAGGUGGCCUUUUAAGUUGGAUGUGAAAUACCCGGGCUUAACCUGGGGGGUGCAUCUAAUACUGGGAGGCUAGAGUGCAGGAGAGGAAAGCGGAAUUCCUAGUGUAGCGGUGAAAUGCGUAGAUAUUAGGAGGAACACCAGUGGCGAAGGCGGCUUUCUGGACUGUAACUGACACUGAGGCACGAAAGCGUGGGGAGCAAACAGGAUUAGAUACCUGGUAGUC